rnacentral:rRNA from 1 species
CAAUAGCGUAUAUUAAAGUUGUUGCAGUUAAAAAGCUCGUAGUUGGAUUUCUGGCAGGAGCGACUGGUCACACACUCUGUGUGUGAACUUGCGUUGUCUCUGGCCAUCCUUGGGAAGAUCCUGUUUGGCAUUAAGUUGUCAGGCAGGGGAUACCCAUCGUUUACUGUGAAAAAAUUAGAGUGUUUAAAGCAGGCUUAUGCCGUUGAAUAUAUUAGCAUGGAAUAAUAAGAUAGGACUUCGGAACUAUUUUGUUGGUUUGCGUUACGAAGUAAUGAUUAAUAGGGACAGUUGGGGGUAUUCGUAUUUCGUUGUCAGAGGUGAAAUUCUUGGAUUUCCGAAAGACGAACUACUGCGAAAGCAUUUACCAAGGAUGUUUUCAUUAA